AUACACAGAAGUCCCAAGGUCAAGAAGCUCUCUCUGGACUGCAUUCUUUGUGGAGUGGAGACCGGCUCCCUAAACAGAAAGGAGGAGUUAAUGGAUGUUGGGUGCCAAUGGAGAGCCUGCUGCAGAAGCUCUGGGAUGACGCCUCUGAAAAAAAAUGGCAUUUAAACUUAAGAUGAGUGAGGGUCAGCAAGGAGCAAGGAGGAUGUACCUUCAGGCAGAGAGAGCCACGUGUGUGGCCUGUCUGUGCCCCGGGUUACAAGAUGUUCGUGCCAUUUCUCAUUUACUGCAUUGACCCCAAAAGGGAUCAGCGGAGAGGGAUGUGGCACGCGAGAAGCCACUGUCCCCUGGGAAAGAAGGGAGAAUGGUGCUCUCAACGCUGGGCCUGAAGGAUUGUGUGAGACACAGCGGUCUCAGCAGUCCCACCUGCCGUCCCCAUGGUUGUAAAGCCCAGGUGAACUCUGUCAGCAACCUCAGCCUCCUCUGGAGGGAGGACCAGCGCACACGGCCUCCGUGACACCCACUGUAGAGGGAGCUUCAGUGGUUGCAGCUCCCAGGUCCGACCUGACUGGACCCACAGAGCUCUGGCUUCCCUCGCUGCUUCCUGGGGGGCCUGAAACACAUCCUAGAGAGACAGUGGCGCUAAUGUCCUGUGGAAGUGCCUCUGACCAUUGAGAGCCAGGAGCCAGGAGCCAGGAAGAAGCCAGCAGAUGAUUGCUCUCCCUUCCUGCCCACCCAGGAGCUGUUCCGAGAUCCAAGGAUAACAGGCCUUAAUUAAGAAGUAGCCCGUGAGCUUGGCCUCAGGCUGCUUUCUGGAGAACCCAGGCGACGGUGAGACCUUCUGACCCUUUACCUUCCAUCCUUCAGUCUGCUGUGCGCUGUUACUUCGCUUCAGGUUCCUGGGGAAGCAGUGCGGCCUCAGCGAGGGAGGAGUUUCAGGAGGGUGAGGUUAUCUUUUGGGAACUCCAAUGGCAGGGAUCACGCGAUCACCUCAAACUCAGGUGUCGUGCUUUCCGGUCGAUGCCUGUGCCAAAAGUUCGUUCUUCAAGACGAGUUCUUGUCCAAGUUACAUGGCCUAUUUUCUAAAAAAUCAAAUCAAGCACACUUCACAGCACCCUCACGGGUAGAACGCGUGGCUUAUUUAUUUUUAUGUGGUAUGUUCAUCUCUCAAUACCUGUGUUUUCACCAGAGUAAACUCAGUCUUGUGAAGUUAAAUUUCAUGCAUGUCAUAAAUGUUUCCCCAUCUGAGCAAAUAUUGAAAUGAGCAAUUCUGCUCUUUGACAGAGAGUGUUAAAUGUGUUUGGUCAUCAAAUUCGACUUAGUAUUCCCCAAGGUAUCCUAAUGUUUCUGGUAGUAUCUCAAAGCUCUCACGAAUCUCCCAGCCAACUAUUGCUUUGAAGGGCAGUUUCUUCACUUAGCAGGAAGUUUUUCUAGUUAAUUCACCUUACUUAGAGUUCCAUAGUUCCCUCUUUUAAUAUUUCCUACAUGUUUAAGCACAGCUAAAAAAGUGACUAAGAAACGUUUUAAAAGUUGUACUUGGUUAAGAAGCCUUGCAACUCUCAUGCUGGGGAACUGAUAAUUUGUGAUUCUAAUUUUAACUGGAUUAAUCUCAUUCAGAGUCUUUCUAUGCAUAUUACACAUCUUAGUGCCCAACUUCAUGAGGGAUUUAGCAACUGCUAUAUGUGGAAAAUGCUGAGAAUUGAGAUGCUUUUGCUGUUGAAGAAACAUUGCUCAUGUUCCAAAAUGCAGUUGAAACCCAAGUCAAUGUUAUAUGCAAUUUCAUUUUUAUUUUGAAAAUAUUGUUGCAGAAACAUAGUUUCUUUGGGAUUCUUUACCCCAAAUCACGGACACUGCUACUCUCAAAAGCAGUACAGUUUCUCGCUCUGCUGAGGGCCAGUCACGGUUCAGCUUCGGAGUGUCACCACGUUCCCCUUGGGGCUGUCUGGGGACACGGCCGGUUUGCCUCCCCUUGCUGGUUACACCACUUUCCUUUCUGCAUUGGUUUUCACUGGGCGCCUGCCAUUUCUGAUGUUCCAGGAAGUCUGCUGCUUCUACCUGACUCUAAUUCAAUUUGUUAAUAUACAACAUUGAUCUGGUUUAUGGACACAGAGAGCAUCCUGUGUAAUUUCAUCUAUGUUUGCCAAAAAGUGACUGUACCAGAUAAGAGCCUUACCAUCAACCUCAGGCUGCCCAGAAAUCCUUUUGUGCUCUGCCCUUUCAUUUUAAUAGUCUGUAGCUGGGGAAUGUUGGUUGGGCAUAUAAUCAUCACUUCUGUGGCGGGGGCCCUGUUUCUGUCUUUCAUCUCUGGUAGUGUAAUAGCCACUCUACUUCUUUUUUUUUUUUAGGGCCGCACUGCAGCAUAUGGAAGUUCCCAGGCUAGGAAUUGAAUCCAAACUGUGGCCACCAGUCUAUGCCACAGCCACAGCUACAGCCACGUGGGAUCCAGCCCCGCCUGCGACCUACACCACAGCUCAUGGCAAUGCCAGAUCCUUCACCCCCUGAGCGAGGCCGGGGAUCAAAGCCACAUCCUCAUGGAUGCUCGUCGGGUUCGUUACCGCUGCGCUGCAAUAGGAACUCCACGCUGCCAUUUUUUAUCUUUUUAAAAUUUGCUUUCCAUCUUUGCAUAUUUGAAGACAUUUUGCUUUGCUUUCUUCUUUCCUCUGGAAGUGCUCCAGCUCCUUCAGGGGUCUCUUCCAUAAUCUAAUUUCCUUGGCUUUGCCAGAACCAACAGGGAAUAUUUCCUGGUGUCCGCCCUGAGCAGAAGGUCUAUGUGCCAGACUGUAUUAAACAAGUUUUUUCCCCCAGAACUCUUUAGGUUGAAGAGACAUUGGUGUCCAUAAUUUUGCAAAAAUUGCCACAGGAAUCCCCCCUUUCAAGACAUCUCGCCGCCUCCCCUGUUCAGAAACUGCUUCUUUCCCUCUCAGCACAUUUUCCAGAGAUUGGAGAGAACCGUUUCUCUGUCCAUAUCAGCUUGUCUAAAGAUGAACAAACAAAACAUGUACCAGUAACAGAGCCAGAACUGGACCUUUGCCUUCGUCUGAUUUGCUGUUUGAAACAUGGCUUUAUGACUCCGCCAUCACCAGGACUUUAGCGGCCAGAAUUAGAAAUGAAUCCAAACAAAUUACUUUGACAGUUUUAAUGAUAAAUGCAACUCAUGUCAGCUAAGCUAGUCAGUGUUUGUGAUGGUCGGAAUAAUCUUUUUUUUAAUUGAAGUAUAGUUGAUUUACAAUGUCGUGUUGAUUUCAGGUGUACAGAACAGUGAUUCAGUUAUACAUACUUUUUCAGAUUCUUUUUCCUUAUAGGUCAUUACACAAUAUUGAGUAUAGUGUCCUGUGUUAUACGGUAGAUCCUGUUGGUUAUCUCUUUUAUGCAUAAUAAUGUGUAUAUGUUAACUCUGACCUCCUAAUUAUCUUCCUCCCCACCUUUGGGAACCAUAAAUUUGUUAUCUGUGUCUGUGGAUCUGUUUCCAUUUAGUAAAUAAGUUCAUUUGUAUCUUUUUUUUUUAAGAUUCCACAUAUAAGUGAUAUCAUAUGAUAUUUGUCUUUGUUUGGCUUACUUCACCUAGUAUGAUAAUCUCUAGGUCCAUCCAUGUUGCUGCAAAUAGCAUUAUCUUGUUCUUUUUUAUGGCUGAGUAGUAUUCCAUUGUGUACCACAUCUCCUUAAUCCAUUCAUCUGUCAAGGGACAUUUGGGUUGUUUCCUUAUUCUUAAAAGUCAGACUCAAGAUCACAAAGUUGCCAAGUAAGUGAACCAGAACUGGAAUCCAGAUCGUCUGAGUAAAGGCAUCUAUGACAGUUUGUCAUGUCCCUCUACUUUCUUCUGAAUGUUCUCAGGAGAAAUUUUUAAAGUUAUGUAGACCAGGAGUUAUAUAUGCCUCUACCAUACAUAUUGCAUGGGUCAAAGUGAAGCAAAGAAAGAAUGUCUUUCCUGAAAGCAAGUAGAUGGCUUCACAGUAGAGCAACAGAGAGAGAAACACCAUGAUAUGCUUCAUUUUUUGCAAGUAUCUUUCUUUUGCUGUUCUCAAGUCGGUAAGAAUCAGGUGACAAAUUCGUUUACACAGUUCCCACUGAGAUUUGUGAACCAAAAAAGGCAGACAGGAAAAUAAACUGGACAGACAAUC
rnacentral:lncRNA from 1 species